rnacentral:rRNA from 1 species
GGGGUAGAGUAAUGCGUGACCAACCUGCCCCAUGCUCCAGAAUAGCUCUUGGAAACGGGUGGUAAUGCUGGAUGCUCCAACUUGACGCAUGUCUUGUUGGGAAAGUGUUUAGUGGCAUGGGAUGGGGUCGCGUCCUAUCAGCUUGUAGGCGGGGUAAUGGCCCACCUAGGCUUCGACGGGUAGCCGGCCUGAGAGGGCGGACGGCCACAUUGGGACUGAGAUACGGCCCAGACUCCUACGGGAGGCAGCAGGU